UCUGAGGUCCCAAGGGAUGACACCCACAGCAGGAGCCCAGAAGGUAGCAACUGGAGAAAUUCCCGCUCCAACCAGGCAUCUAGAAACCAUCUGGCUGACACUGGGAAGAAUAAAAAGUAGACAGGAACUUCAUUUCUUUGAAUUUUAACCUACGGGGUCUGAACUUUUAUUGGAUUUUAACCUACAAAGUGUAAACUCAAAUGUGUUUGAUCUACUACUCUGAUGCUCAUGGAUGACCACAAUGCCAUAGAAUUACUUCAGGAAAAGAAGAAAGAAGAAAACUUGCCAAGGAGAAAUUCUUGGCAAACAAAGGUCUAGAAGGAAGAACGUAGACUAGAAUAAAUUCAAAGUUUAUUAAAGACAAAUUCUUAUAUAUUC